UUACCAUGCAGUCGAACGAUGAUCCUGGAGCUUGCUCUGGGGGAUUAGUGGCGAACGGGUGAGUAACACGUGAGUAACCUGCCCUUGACUCUGGGAUAACCUCCGGAAACGGAAGCUAAUACCGGAUAUGACGCACGGAGGCAUCUCCUGUGCGUGGAAAGAAUUUCGGUCAAGGAUGGACUCGCGGCCUAUCAGGUAGUUGGUGAGGUAAUGGCUCACCAAGCCUACGACGGGUAGCCGGCCUGAGAGGGUGACCGGCCACACUGGGACUGAGACACGGCCCAGACUCCUACGGGAGGCAGCAGUGGGGAAUAUUGCACAAUGGGCGAAAGCCUGAUGCAGCAACGCCGCGUGAGGGACGACGGCCUUCGGGUUGUAAACCUCUUUUAGUAGGGAAGAAGCGAAAGUGACGGUACCUGCAGAAAAAGCACCGGCUAACUACGUGCCAGCAGCCGCGGUAAUACGUAGGGUGCAAGCGUUGUCCGGAAUUAUUGGGCGUAAAGAGCUCGUAGGCGGUUUGUCGCGUCUGCUGUGAAAUCCCGAGGCUCAACCUCGGGUCUGCAGUGGGUACGGGCAGACUAGAGUGCGGUAGGGGAGAAUGGAAUUCCUGGUGUAGCGGUGGAAUGCGCAGAUAUCAGGAGGAACACCGAUGGCGAAGGCAGUUCUCUGGGCCGUAACUGACGCUGAGGAGCGAAAGCGUGGGGAGCGAACAGGAUUAGAUACCCUGGUAGUCCACGCCGUAAACGUUGGGCGCUAGAUGUGGGGACCAUUCCACGGUUUCCGUGUCGCAGCUAACGCAUUAAGCGCCCCGCCUGGGGAGUACGGCCGCAAGG
rnacentral:rRNA from 1 species